GACGAACGCUGGCGGCGUGCUUAACACAUGCAAGUCGAACGGAAAGGCCCUGCUUUUGUGGGGUGCUCGAGUGGCGAACGGGUGAGUAACACGUGAGUAACCUGCCCUUGACUUUGGGAUAACUUCAGGAAACUGGGGCUAAUACCGGAUAGGAGCUCCUGCUGCAUGGUGGGGGUUGGAAAGUUUCGGCGGUUGGGGAUGGACUCGCGGCUUAUCAGCUUGUUGGUGGGGUAGUGGCUUACCAAGGCUUUGACGGGUAGCCGGCCUGAGAGGGUGACCGGCCACAAUGGGACUGAGAUGCGGCCCAGACUCCUACGGGAGGCAGCAGUGGGGAAUAUUGCACAAUGGGCGGAAGCCUGAUGCAGCAACGCCGCGUGCGGGAUGACGGCCUUCGGGUUGUAAACCGCUUUCGCCUGUGACGAAGCGUGAGUGACGGUAAUGGGUAAAGAAGCACCGGCUAACUACGUG
rnacentral:rRNA from 1 species